UGAGGAAUAUUGGGCAAUGGGCUAACGCCUGACCCAGCAACGCCGCGUGGAGGAUGAAGGUUUUUGGAUUGUAAACUCCUUUUGUGGGGGAAGAGUGAGGACGGUACCCCAAGAAUAAGUCACGGCUAACUACGUGCCAGCAGCCGCGGUAAUACGUAGGUGACGAGCGUUAUCCGGAAUUAUUGGGCGUAAAGCGCCCGCAGGCGGCUGUUCAAGUCUGACGUGAAAUCGCUCGGCUUAACUGGGCGGGGUCGUUGGAAACUGAAUAGCUUGAGGCAAGGAGAGGGGCGUGGAAUUCCCGGUGUAGUGGUGGAAUGCGUAGAUAUCGGGAGGAACAUCAGUGGCGCAAGCGGCGCCCUGGCCUUAGCCUGACGCUCAGGGGCGAAAGCGUGGGGAGCGAACG
rnacentral:rRNA from 1 species